GAGGCCUGGGGUUGGCCUGACGCCUUAGGGCCCGAGGGACUUGGAGAGACAUUCAGGAAGCCCUGAGGUGGGAGGUUUGGGACACAACCUGAGUCUCCUCAGAGCACCUUCGACUCUGGAGGCCACGUGUGACGGCCUGGCACAGGGCUGUGAGAGAACAUACUAUUUAAUAUCAAAUCAAAUUCUCCAUGUUACCUACUCAAAUCAUAAGCUUCUGAAGAAAAUGCUCUGUAAAUUCUCAGCAGAGUAUGCUUUCAAAAAGUCUUUAAAAACAAUUAAGCCAUAA